rnacentral:rRNA from 1 species
AGUGAACGCUGGCGGUAGGCCUAACACAUGCAAGUCGAACGAGUGGCGGACGGGUGAGGAAUACAUCGGAAUCUACUCUGUCGUGGGGGAUAACGUCGGGAAACUUACGCUAAUACCGCAUACGAUUGAAUGCACCCAUGUGGGAUUAGCUAGUUGGCGGGGUAAAGGCCCACCAAGGCGACGAUCCGUAGCUGGUCUGAGAGGAUGAUCAGCCACACUGGAACUGAGACACGGUCCAGACUCCUACGGGAGGCAGCAGUGGGGAAUAUUGCACAAUGGGCGCAAGCCUGAUCCAGCCAUACCGCGUGGAUGAAGAAGGCCUUCGGGUUGUAAAGUCCUUUUGUUGGGGAAGCGUUACCCAAAGAAGAAGCACCGGCUAACUUCGUGCCAGCAGCCGCGGUAAUAC